rnacentral:rRNA from 1 species
GAUGAACGCUGGCGGCGUGCUUAACACAUGCAAGUCGAACGGAAAGGCUCCUGCUUGCCGGGGUCCUCGAGUGGCGAACGGGUGAGUAACACGUGGGUGAUCUGCCCUGCACUUCGGGAUAAGCCUGGGAAGCUGGGUCUAAUACCGGAUAGGACGAUGGUUUGGAUGCCAUUGUGGAAAGUUUUUCGGUGUGGGAUGAGCUCGCGGCCUAUCAGCUUGUUGGUGGGGUAAUGGCCUACCAAGGCGUCGACGGGUAGCCGGCCUGAGAGGGUGUACGGCCACAUUGGGACUGAGAUACGGCCCAGACUCCUACGGGAGGCAGCAGUGGGGAAUAUUGCACAAUGGGCGCAAGCCUGAUGCAGCGACGCCGCGUGGGGGAUGACGGCCUUCGGGUUGUAAACUCCUUUCGCUAGGGACGAAGCGCAAGUGACGGUACCUGGAGAAGAAGCACCGGCUAACUACGUG